rnacentral:rRNA from 1 species
UGGGGGAUAUUGCACAAUGGACGAAAGUCUGAUGCAGCGACGUCGUGUGGGGGAUGAAGGCCUUCGGGUUGUAAACUCCUUUCGCCCGCGGAAAAGGCAGGGUUUUGGCCUUGUUGAUGGUAGUGGGUAAAGAAGCGCCGGCUAACUACGUGCCAGCAGCCGCGGUAAUACGUAGGGCGCGAGCGUUGUCCGGAAUUAUUGGGCGUAAAGGGCCCGUAGGCGGUUUGUCGCGUCUAGCGUUUAAGGCUCGGGCUUAACCCGGGUUUGCGUUGGGUACGGGCAGGGUUGAGUGCGGUAGGGGUAACUGGGAUUCCUGGUGUGGCGGUGGAAUGCGCAGAUAUCAGGAGGAACACCGGUGGCGAAGGCGGGUUACUGGGCCGUUACUGUCGCUGAGGAGCGAGAGCGUGGGGAGCGAACAGG